UCAGGAUGAACGCUGGCGGCGUGCCUAACACAUGCAAGUCGAACGGAGUUACGAGAGCUUGCUUUGUAACUUAGUGGCGGACGGGUGAGGUAAUGUAUGAGCAACCUGCCUUUCAGAGGGGGACAACAGUUGGAAACGACUGCUAAUACCGCAUAAUGUACCGUGGGGGCAUCCCCGUGGUACCAAAGGAGCAAUCCGCUGAAAGAUGGGCUCAUAUCUGAUUAGCUAGUUGGUGGGGUAACGGCUCACCAAGGCUGCGAUCAGUAGCCGGACUGAGAGGUUGAACGGCCACAUUGGGACUGAGAUACGGCCCAGACUCCUACGGGAGGCAGCAGUGGGGAAUAUUGGGCAAUGGGCGAAAGCCUCGACCCAGCAACGCCGCGUGAAGGAAGAAGGUCUUCGGAUUGUAAACUUCUUUUAUGAGGGACGAAGGACGUGACGGUACCUCAUGAAUAAGCCACGGCUAACUACGUGCCAGCCGCGGC
rnacentral:rRNA from 1 species